UACGGGGGGGGCAAGCGUUGUUCGGAAUUACUGGGCGUAAAGGGGCUCGUAGGUGGCCAACUAAGUCGGACGUGAAAUCCCUCGGCUUAACCGGGGAACUGCGUCCGAUACUGGUUGGCUUGAGUUUGGGAGAGGGAUGCGGAAUUCCAGGUGUAGCGGUGAAAUGCGUAAGAUCUCGGAGGAACACCGGUGGCGAAGGCGGCAUCCUGGACCAAUACUGACGCUGAGGAGCGAAAGCCAGGGGAGCAAACGGG
rnacentral:rRNA from 1 species